GACGAACGCUGGCGGCGUGCUUAACACAUGCAAGUCGAACGGAAAGGCCCUGCUUUUGUGGGGUGCUCGAGUGGCGAACGGGUGAGUAACACGUGAGUAACCUGCCCUUGACUUUGGGAUAACUUCAGGAAACUGGGGCUAAUACCGGAUAGGAGCUCCUGCUGCAUGGUGGGGGUUGGAAAGUUUCGGCGGUUGGGGAUGGACUCGCGGCUUAUCAGCUUGUUGGUGGGGUAGUGGCUUACCAAGGCUUUGACGGGUAGCCGGCCUGAGAGGGUGACCGGCCACAUUGGGACUGAGAUACGGCCCAGACUCCUACGGGAGGCAGCAGUGGGGAAUGUUGCACAAUGGGCGGAAGCCUUAUGCAGCAACGCCGCGUGCGGGAUGACGGCCUUCGGGUUGUAAACCGCUUUCGCCUGUGACGAAGCGUGAGUGACGGUAAUGGGUAAAGAAGCACCGGCUAACUACGUG
rnacentral:rRNA from 1 species